rnacentral:misc_RNA from 1 species
ACCAACAACCGUUUUCAGAAG